AUUGAACGCUGGCGGCAGGCCUAACACAUGCAAGUCGGACGAGUGGCGGACGGGUGAGUAAUGUAUGGGGAACUGCCUGAUGGAGGGGGAUAACUACUGGAAACGGUAGCUAAUACCGCCUACCCUCAGAUGAACCCAUAUGGGAUUAGCUUGUAGGUGGGGUAACGGCUCACCUAGGCGACGAUCCCUAGCUGGUCUGAGAGGAUGAACAGCAACACUGGGACUGAGACACGGUCCAGACUCCUACGGGAGGCAGCAGUGGGGAAUAUUGCACAAUGGGCGCAAGCCUGAUGCAGCCAUGCCGCGUGUAUGAAGAAGGCCUUCGGGUUGUAAAGUACUUUCAGUCGGGAGGCGUUACCGGCAGAAGAAGCACCGGCUAACUCCGUGCCAGCAGCCGCGGUAAUUC
rnacentral:rRNA from 1 species